rnacentral:rRNA from 1 species
AAGUAGCAAUACUUAGUGGCAGACGGGUGAGUAACAUGUAGGUAUCUGCCCUUUGGCCUGGAAUAACACGAGGAAACUUGUGCUAAUACCGGAUAAGUCUUUACGGAGAAAGCUUUAUGCACCAUUGGAUGAGCCUGCACUCGAUUAGUUUGUUGGUGGGGUAAUGGCCUACCAAGACUGUGAUCAAUAGCUGAUUUGAGAGGAUGAUCAGCCACAUUGGGACUGAGACACGGCCCAAACUCCUACGGGAGGCAGCAGUGGGGAAUCUUGCACAAUGGAGGAAACUCUGAUGCAGCGAUGCCGCGUGAGUGAAGAAGGCCCUUGGGUUGUAAAGCUCUUUCGUCGGGGAAGAAAAUGACUGUACCCGAAUAAGAAGGUCCGGCUAACUUCGUGCCAGCAGCCGCGGUAAUACGAAGGGACCUAGCGUAGUUCGGAAUUACUGGGCUUAAAGAGUUCGUAGGUGGUUGAAAAAGUUGGUGGUGAAAUCCCAGAGCUUAACUCUGGAACUGCCAUCAAAACUUUUCAGCUAGAGUAUGAUAGAGGAAAGCAGAAUUUCUAGUGUAGAGGUGAAAUUCGUAGAUAUUAGAAAGAAUACCAAUUGCGAAGGCAGCUUUCUGGAUCAUUACUGACGCUGAGGAACGAAAGCAUGGGUAGCGGAGAGGAUUAGAUACCCUCGUAGUCCAUGCCGUAAGCGAUGUGUGUUAGACGUUGGAAAUUUAUUUUCAGUGUCGCAGCGAAAGCGAUAAACACACCGCCUGGGGAGUACGACCGCAAGGUUAAAACUCAAAUGAAUUGACGGGGACCCGCACAAGUAGUGGAGCAUGUGGUUUGAUUCGAAGAUACGCGCAGAACCUUACCAACACUUGACAUGUUCGUCGCGACUCUAAGAGAUUAGAGUUUUCGGUUCGGCCGGACGAAACACAGGUGCUGCAUGGCUGUCGUCAGCUCGUGUC